GAUGAACGCUGGCGGCGUGCCUAAUACAUGCAAGUCGAGCGAACAGACGAGGAGCUUGCUCCUCUGACGUUAGCGGCGGACGGGUGAGUAACACGUGGAUAACCUACCUAUAAGACUGGGAUAACUUCGGGAAACCGGAGCUAAUACCGGAUAAUAUAUUGAACCGCAUGGUUCAAUAGUGAAAGACGGUUUUGCUGUCACUUAUAGAUGGAUCCGCGCCGCAUUAGCUAGUUGGUAAGGUAACGGCUUACCAAGGCAACGAUGCGUAGCCGACCGGAGAGGGUGAUCGGCCACACUGGAACUGAGACACGGUCCAGCCUCCUACGGGAGGCAGCAGUGGGGAAUCUUCCGCAAUGGGCGAAAGCCUGACGGAGCAACGCCGCGUGAGUGAUGAAGGUCUUCGGAUCGUAAAACUCUGUUAUUAGGGAAGAACAAAUGUGUAAGUAACUAUGCACGUCUUGACGGUACCUAAUCAGAAAGCCACGGCUAACUACGUG
rnacentral:rRNA from 1 species